GUGGAUGGAGGGGGAAUAGAGGAUGAAAAAGGUGUUUUGGAAGAUCGUUUCUGAUAUAUUUUGUUUGGUUCUAUAGGUUUUAGGGGUUUAGGAUUCUGUUGAGAGAAUUGGAGAGGGAAGGUCGAGGUACUGUGAGGAUUUCUUGGUUUUAAGUUGCUGGUUCUGUUAGCGAGAGUUGCAGGGUGAAGGUCUGAUGCAGAGAUAGGAGUUUGCAGAAUGUGCUUCUCUGAUGCAGAAGCUUGCAGAUUAGGGUCGAGAAUCUGUGGAAUGCAGCAGAUGAAAAAUAGAGUGCCGACCCUUGAAGUGUGAAGAAUGGUAAGCAUUUAUAGAACUUCAAUUGCUCCUCUCUCUCAAUUUGUUUUUCUGUUUUGGUUUUCAGUUUUCAAUUCAGUUAGGUUGUUAGGAGUUGGUUAGAGGUUUGUUAAGUUGGUUAUGAUGUUGUUGGAGAUUAAUUCUGUUAUGUGUUAUGAUAUUUUCUAUUGUGAAGUUGCAACAACAGUUUUUGAUGAGAAAACCCUUUUUUCUUCUAAGUUUUUCCUUUUAAAUUCUGUUGGAAAGUGAAAGUGCAUUCAAACUAAAUCCAGUUAGUUAAAAAAAAUGGUUACAUUAUUAUCCAGUUAGUUAUGGGAUCGAUUACGCAGUCAGUUACGAAAUGGUUAGUUUUGGUUACAAAUUCUGUUAGAAAGUUCUAUUAAAUUGUUAAUUCCAUUGGCAAAAUGAUGCUAAGUGGUGAGUCUGUUAUUAAAGGAUGUUAUAGUCAUCCAUUGUAUUGGAACAAACUUGUUAGCUUGUUAGAUGUUAACAAAUUGUCAGUUUGUGAUGUAGGAAAUGAGAUUGGUUGAUGCGAAUCAAAUGCCAGCAUUCACCCUGCAAUGAACCGAUCCCUUAUUUUGAAGGUAACAGUUAGCACAAAAUUGCCACGAUUCGUAAUCGGUUUGUUUAGUUAGUGUCAAAUGUCAUUAGGAAUUGAAAUGAAAUUGUAACAUAAAGCUCCAAUUUUUAAUUGAAACCAUAACUGAACUGUAUGCCAUGUUGUUAUGCUAUUAGUUAGUAACUAGUUUGCUACUAAAUGGUAUUUUGGGAAUGGAAUUUAACGUACACGAGCUUUGGAUUGUUAGUGUGAUGAAACUGACAUUCAACUUGCUAUUACAGAAAAACCAGUUAGCUCAAAUUAUGGGAAUUAAUGGACGACUGCUAAAACAGUAAUGUCGGUUCUAACGUUGGAUUAGUGGUUUUCCACUUGGUUUGUAGAAGUAAUAUGGUUUACAAAUAAGCUAACAUUGUUAUUUAGUACAUUAUACUGGCUUGUGCAUCACUAUUAUGAGCUUAAACAGUGAAUGAAAUUGUGUAUUGCAGUGCAGUUAAAAUUCCCAGCCGACUUCGAAAUGUCGUGUUGCGAAGUUU
rnacentral:lncRNA from 1 species